rnacentral:rRNA from 1 species
UACGGAGGGGGCUAGCGUUGUUCGGAAUUACUGGGCGUAAAGCGCACGUAGGCGGCUUUGUAAGUUAGAGGUGAAAGCCCAGGGCUCAACCCUGGAAUUGCCUUUAAGACUGCAUCGCUUGAACAUCGGAGAGGUAAGUGGAAUUCCGAGUGUAGAGGUGAAAUUCGUAGAUAUUCGGAAGAACACCAGUGGCGAAGGCGACUUACUGGACGAUUGUUGACGCUGAGGUACGAAAGCGUGGGGAGCAAACAGG